UCAAACUCCAAUGUGAACAUACAAGAAGAUGCAUACGAAUUCCUACAAUCCUUUCUCAAUAAACUUGAAAUUUGUGGUAACUAUUUAGAGACUAAAUAAAACAUUGUUAAGGAGGCCUUUGGUGGUCGCCUUGUGAGCUAGGUACGCAUUUUCAUAUCUGUUCUCUCUAUUUUAUCUUAGUUUCUUUUCUCCUGCUAUUUUAGCUUUUUCAACUAUUUUGUAAAGAUUUUUUAACAUGAACCAAGAAUCUGUUAGUAAUAUCCUCUCUACCUUCCAAUGUAUGGGUAAGGUUUGUGUAUUGUCAAUCCUCUCUAGGCCUCACUUGUAAAUAUUUUAUUCAUUGUUAGUGUAUUUUUCUCAAUUUUAAGCUUUGUUAUAGCAAUUGUGGUUGUUCAUCAGUCACACGUGAAACUCUAAUCGACUUAAGAUUGGAUAUUGAGGAGGUUGACACUGUACCAACCACAGUAGAAUCUUUCACUAAAAACAAGAAAAUUGAGUUCUCUUGUGAAAGGUGCAAGACACAAGGGCCAUUUGAGAAGAAACUCCUCGUCAAUCAUCCCCCUGAUGUUGCUGUCCUACAUUUAAAGCGAUUCAAAAAUAACGGGUUGAUUGUUAAAAAGAUGGAAAAACAUAGACAUGCUUCUUUAUAGCAACGACAUCAAUAAUGACACUAUCACAACUUUAUUCAUUGUGCUUCAAAUAAAUGGUACAAAUUUGAUGACGAGAAGGUUGAUUAUGUUCAGGAAUAUCUUGUUUUGGCAGAACAGACAUAACAUUUGUUUCAUGCAAAGAGGGUUACUCCGUGGUUUUCAGACUAUAUCAAAGCCAUAAGCCAUUCGUAUGUCUGGUUAACCCCUGAACUUCAAAUGAUGCUUCAGAUGAGCCAACUCUGUUGCCUGAACAGAACAAUGUUGAGGAUAAUGAUUCCCAUGCAUUAGCAUAUCACAUUUAUUGCGAAGAUCAAUUGCAAGACAACGAAAUAAAGCAUAACGAAGAAUUGGUUGAUGCAUUAAACUGUGACUCAGAUGGAACCUUUAUGAAUGAAAAGAAGAGGAAGCUGGAAGAUUGAAGAUUUGUUGUGAUGACAGGUUUACCUUUUCUAAUGGUAAGAGUAUGAGCAUACACAAAUUGAGUAAUUUGAUCUACUAAAACAGUCUUUUUUGAAUAAUGCUUAUGGUUUUGAUAUAUGAAUUCAAAAUUUCUGAGUUUAUUGAGUCAAAGUUAGAAAUAUAUCUUAUUAGUUUUGGAUAAAUUAUUUAUGCAACCAAAAUGUGUUUUUGGACU